rnacentral:rRNA from 1 species
UACGAAGGGGGCUAGCGUUGCUCGGAAUCACUGGGCGUAAAGGGUGCGUAGGCGGGUCUUUAAGUCAGGGGUGAAAGCCCAGAGCUCAACUCUGGAAUUGCCCUUGAAACUAGAGGACUUGGGUACGGGAGAGGUGAGUGGAAUUCCGAGUGUAGAGGUGAAAUUCGUAGAUAUUCGGAAGAACACCAGUGGCGAAGGCGGCUCACUGGCCCGUUACCGACGCUCAGGCGCGACAGCGUGGGGAGCAAACAGG